rnacentral:rRNA from 1 species
UACGUAGGUGACAAGCGUUGUCCGGAUUUACUGGGCGUAAAGAGCGCGCAGGCGGUCGUUCAAGUCGAGUGUGAAAGCCCUCGGCUCAACUGGGGAGGGUCAUUCGAUACUGAUCGACUCGAAGGCAGGAGAGGGUAGUGGAAUUCCCGGUGUAGUGGUGAAAUGCGUAGAUAUCGGGAGGAACACCAGUGGCGAAGGCGACUACCUGGCCUGUUCUUGACGCUGAGGCGCGAAAGCUAGGGGAGCAAACGGG